CCAAUAGCGUAUAUUAAAGUUGUUGCAGUUAAAAAGCUCGUAGUUGAAUUUCGGAAUUCUUUUAUCGGUUGAAUCAACAGGUUCGUACUGAUUUUAAGAAUUUCUACCUUCUGGAGAACCUUAAUGUCAUUUAUUUGGUGUUUUGGGGAACCAGGACUGUUACCUUGAAAAAAUUAGAGUGUUUAAAGCAGGCUUAUGUCUGAAUAUAUUAGCAUGGAAUAAUGAAAUAGGACGGCAUGGUUCUAUUUUGUUGGUUUCUAGGAUCACCGUAAUGAUUAAUAGGGUUAGUUGGGGGCAUUAGUAUUCAAUUGUCAGAGGUGAAAUUCUUGGAUUUAUUGAAGACUAACUUCUGCGAAAGCAUUUGCCAAGGAUGUUUUCAUUAAUCAAGAACGAAAGUUAGGGGAUCGAAGACGAUCAGAUACCGUCGUAGUCUUAACCAUAAACUAUGCCGACUAGGAAUCGGACGAAGUUAAUUUUUUAAUGACUCGUUCGGCGCCUUACG
rnacentral:misc_RNA from 1 species